rnacentral:rRNA from 1 species
CCUACGGGAGGCAGCAGUGAGGAAUAUUGGUCAAUGGGAGAGAUCCUGAACCAGCCAAGCCGCGUGAGGGAAGACGGCCCUAUGGGUUGUAAACCUCUUUUGCCGGAGAACAAAACCCGGGACGUGUCCCGGACUGCGUGUAUCCGAAGAAAAAGCAUCGGCAAACCCCGUGCCAGCAGCCGAGGUAAUACGGAGGAUGCGAGGGUUAUCCGGAUUUAUCGGGUUACAGGGGUGCGUGGGCGGUCCGUUAUGUCAGCGGUAAAAUGGCGGGGCUAAACCCCGUCGAGCCGUUGAAACUGGCAGACUUGAGUGGGCGAGAGGUACGCGGAAUGCGCGGUGUAGCGGUGAAAUGCGUAGAUAUCGCGAAGAAC